UAAAACCUCCUCUUAUUUCAUUUCUUUGAAACCCUAAUCCUUUAAAUACCGAACGAGAGUUCAGCCUCCAUUCCUUUCUCACACACAACAACAGUUGAAGAAACAGACGGAGAGGAGGAGCGAAGAUGAGAGCUAAGUGGAAGAAGAAGAGGAUGAGGAGACUUAAGAGGAAGCGCCGAAAGAUGAGACAAAGAUCCAAGUAGAUUACUUUCGGUUGAAGAGGGACGUUGAAGACUGCUGGUUCCUUCUUGACAUAUGCCUGAAGUAUCUUGCUCACCCACAGAAGCCUGAAGUAUCCACCAAAGCUGCUGUAGUAAGGAAGAUAACAGGGUACAUGAUAGUUGGGGCUGAGUUUUUUAAUUGUUCCCAAGACAUUUUGCAGUUUUAGUUUCUUCCAAACAAACAGAUGUCUCUUGAUUCAUCUGUUUGACUUCUGUAGAGACAUAUUAUAUAGUAGUUCUGAACACAGUGGGAAUGCUAUGGCAUCUUUCUCUAAAUACAAUGUGGUGUUUGAAUUUCUAUUGUUUGUCAUAAUUUAGGUUAAUUUAUUUUUGAUGAUUUUGCAGUG